UACAGAGGGUGCUAGCGUUGUUCGGAAUUAUUGGGCGUAAAGGGCGCGUAGGCGGGAUGGCAAGUCGGUCGUGAAAUCCCUCGGCUCAACUGAGGAUCGUCGAUCGAUACUGCCGUUCUUGAGGAUUGCAGAGGAGACUGGAAUUCCCGGUGUAGCGGUGAAAUGCGCAGAUAUCAGGAGGAACACCGAUGGCGAAGGCAGGUCUCUGGGCCACUACUGACGCUGAGAAGCGAAAGCAUGGGGAGCGAACAGG
rnacentral:rRNA from 1 species